UCCUAGCCCCGAUGGAAACGGCAUCCUUUUUAUGGCUCCUUUAGCCAUGAAAAGAUAUAGUGUACAGCGGGACUCAAG
rnacentral:sRNA from 1 species